rnacentral:tRNA from 1 species
AACAAAGAAGUAAAAUAUACAUUUAGUUUCGACCUAAAAAUAAGAAGUAAUUUCUCAUGUUU